GUUGGGUGUGGUGGCGCGUGCCUGUAAUCCCAGCUACUUGGGAGGCUGAGGCAGGAGAAUCGUUUGAACCCGGGAGGCAGAGGUGGCAGUGAGCUGAGAUCAUGCCAUUGCACUCCAGCCUGGGUGACAGAGCGAGAUUCCGUCUCAG
rnacentral:SRP_RNA from 2 species